GAAACUUCCAGUCCCAGAUACUCUGAGUGAUGGCUACAAAGAGUCACAAAGAUGAUUCCGUCUAUUUGAGAACAUCCUCAAGCAGAUAGUCUGAGGCGCCCUUCCUUCCGAGGCAGAGUGCUUGGACCAGCUAGGAAGACAGCUGACACGCCUUAUCUAGCUGCUUAUCUGGGACCUUGUGGACUGCCCUUGGAAACAGAACCAAAUCUGCCUAAUCAAAAUGGAUGCAACAUGGACAAAAUGGCAUGCCUCUGCAUCUGUGGGGUCUCUGUACUGCAGCAGAGGCAAACAGUCCCAAAGAAAAUAGUCCAAGCACAAUAGAAACUCUACUGAAAACAGAUGAGUGUUAAGAAAUAAAUUUGGAACAACCCCUUUCGUCAUUAA
rnacentral:lncRNA from 1 species